AGUGAACGCUGGCGGUAGGCCUAACACAUGCAAGUCGAACGGCAGCACAGUAAGAGCUUGCUCUUACGGGUGGCGAGUGGCGGACGGGUGAGGAAUACAUCGGAAUCUACUUUUUCGUGGGGGAUAACGUAGGGAAACUUACGCUAAUACCGCAUACGACCUACGGGUGAAAGCAGGGGAUCUUCGGACCUUGCGCGAUUGAAUGAGCCGAUUUCGGAUUGGCUAGUUGGCGGGGUAAAGGCCCACCAAGGCGACGAUCCGUAGCUGGUCUGAGAGGAUGAUCAGCCACACUGGAACUGAGACACGGUCCAGACUCCUACGGGAGGCAGCAGUGGGGAAUAUUGGACAAUGGGCGCAAGCCUGAUCCAGCCAUACCGCGUGGGUGAAGAAGGCCUUCGGGUUGUAAAGCCCUUUUGUUGGGAAAGAAAAGCAGCAGGUUAAUACCCCGCUGUUCUGACGGUACCCAAAGAAUAAGCACCGGCUAACUUCGUG
rnacentral:rRNA from 1 species